GACGAACGCGGCGGCGUGCGUAAUACGUGCAAGUAGAACGCUGAAGAGAGGAGCUUGCUCUUCUUGGAAGAGUUGCGAACGGGUGAGUAACGCGUAGGUAACCUGCCUUGUAGCGGGGGAUAACUAUUGGAAACGAUAGCUAAUACCGCAUAACAAUGGAUGACACAUGUCAUUUAUUUGAAAGGGGCAACUGCUCCACUACAAGAUGGACCUGCGUUGUAUUAGCUAGUAGGUGAGGUGACGGCUCACCUAGGCGACGAUACAUAGCCGACCUGAGAGGGUGAUCGGCCACACUGGGACUGAGACACGGCCCAGACUCCUACGGGAGGCAGCAGUAGGGAAUCUUCGGCGAUGGGGGCAACCCUGACCGAGCAACGCCGCGUGAGUGAAGAAGGUUUUCGGAUCGUAAAGCUCUGUUGUAAGUCAAGAACGAGUGUGAGAGUGGAAAGUUCACACUGUGACGGUAGCUUACCAGAAAGGGACGGCUAACUACGUGCCAGCAGCCGCGGUAAUACGUAGGUCCCGAGCGUUGUCCGGAUUUAUUGGGCGUAAAGCGAGCGCAGGCGGUUUGAUAAGUCUGAAGUUAAAGGCUGUGGCUCAACCAUAGUUCGCUUUGGAAACUGUCAAACUUGAGUGCAGAAGGGGAGAGUGGAAUUCCAUGUGUAGCGGUGAAAUGCGUAGAUAUAUGGAGGAACACCGGUGGCGGAAGCGGCUCUCUGGUCUGUAACUGACGCUGAGGCUCGAAAGCGUGGGGAGCGAACAGG
rnacentral:rRNA from 1 species